rnacentral:rRNA from 1 species
ACAGAGAUGUGCUCUCCUUCGGGCAAUGGAUACAGGUGGUGCAUGGUUGUCGUCAGCUCGUGCCGUGAGGUGUUGGGUUAAGUCCCGCAACGAGCGCAACCCUCAUUGUUAGUUACUACCAUUCAGUUGAGGACUCUAAUGAGACUGCCAACGACAAGUUGGAGGAAGGUGGGGAUGACGUCAAAUCAUCAUGCCCUUUAUGACCUGGGCUACAAACGUACUACAAUGGCCAAUACAAAGAGAUGCGAAGCGGUGACGUGAAGCGAACCUCAGAAAGUUGGUCUCAGUUCAGAUUGAAGUCUGCAACUCGACUUCAUGAAGGCGGAAUCGCUAGUAAUCGCGGGUCAGCAGACCGCGGUGAAUACGUUCCCGGGUUUU